CAGUCGAACGGAGAUUAUACGCAGAGGCGAUUUCGGUCAAAUCAUGUAAAAUCUUAUUGGCGGACGGGUGAGUAACGCGUGGGUAACCUGCCUUACACUGGGGGAUAACACUUAGAAAUAGGUGCUAAUACCGCAUAAGCGCACGAAGCCGCAUGGAUUUGUGUGAAAAACUCCGGUGGUGUAAGAUGGACCCGCGUCUGAUUAGCUUGUUGGCGGGGUAACGGCCCACCAAGGCGACGAUCAGUAGCCGGCCUGAGAGGGUGGACGGCCACAUUGGGACUGAGACACGGCCCAAACUCCUACGGGAGGCAGUAGUGGGGGAUAUUGGACAAUGGGGGGAACCCUGAUCCAGCGACGCCGCGUGAGUGAAGAAGUAUUUCGGUAUGUAAAGCUCUGUCAGCAGGGAAGAAAGAAAUGACGGUACCUGACCAAGAAGCCCCGGCUAACUACGUGCCAGCAGCCGCGGUAAUACGUAGGGGGCAAGCGUUAUCCGGAAUUACUGGGUGUAAAGGGAGCGUAGACGGUUAAGUAAGUCUGGAGUGAAAGGCCGGGGCCCAACCCCGGGACUGCUCUGGAAACUAUUUAACUUGAGUGCAGGAGAGGUAAGCGGAAUUCCUAGUGUAGCGGUGAAAUGCGUAGAUAUUAGGAGGAACACCAGUGGCGAAGGCGGCUUACUGGACUGUAACUGACGUUGAGGCUCGAAAGCGUGGGGAGCAAACAGGAUUAGAUACCCUGGUAGUCCACGCCGUAAACGAU
rnacentral:rRNA from 1 species